AUCUUUUUGCAGUUCAUGAGCAUGAUGAUAGGGUGUUCACACGAAUGUGUGAGAUGUGCCACCCUCUGAACCUUGCUAUGAUCUUGACACAUUGCCUAUCUGAUC